rnacentral:rRNA from 1 species
UACGUAGGGUGCGAGCGUUAAUCGGAAUUACUGGGCGUAAAGCGUGCGUAGGCGGUUGGCCAAGUCAGCUGUGAAAGCCCCGGGCUCAACCUGGGAAUGGCAGUGGAAACUAGGAGACUUGAAUCUGGCAGAGGGGGGUGGAAUUCCACGUGUAGCAGUGAAAUGCGUAGAGAUGUGGAGGAACACCGAUGGCGAAGGCAGCCCCCUGGGCUGAGAUUGACGCUCAGGCACGAAAGCGUGGGGAGCAAACAGG